rnacentral:rRNA from 1 species
GACAGCAGCAGCCGCGGUAAAACGAAGGGUGCAAGCGUUACUCGGAAUUACUGGGCGUAAAGCGUGCGUAGGUGGUGGUUUAAGUCCGUUGUGAAAGCCCUGGGCUCAACCUGGGAAUUGCAGUGGAUACUGGGUCACUAGAGUGUGGUAGAGGAUAGUGGAAUUUCCGGUGUAGCAGUGAAAUGCGUAGAGAUCGGAAGGAACAUCUGUGGCGAAGGCGACUAUCUGGGCCAACACUGACACUGAGGCACGAAAGCGUGGGGAGCAAACAGGAUUAGAUACCCCUGUAGUCCCUGUCUCUUAUAA